GACGUAGGGCGCGAGCGUUGUCCGGAUUUAUUGGGCGUAAAGAGCUCGUAGGCGGUGUGUCGCGUCGGCCGUGAAAACCUGGGGCUUAACUCUGGGCUUGCGGUCGAUACGGGCAUCACUGGAGUUCGGCAGGGGAGACUGGAAUUCCUGGUGUAGCGGUGAAAUGCGCAGAUAUCAGGAGGAACACCGGUGGCGAAGGCGGGGUCUCUGGGCCGAUACUGACGCUGAGGAGCGAAAGCGUGGGGAGCGAACAGG
rnacentral:rRNA from 1 species